rnacentral:lncRNA from 1 species
UUUGAAGGAAAGUCCUAGAUUUGCAUUAAACUGUGACAUGAGUGAGAAAGACAAUUUUGUGUGAAGGCACUGAGAUAUUCUGGUUAUUUUUUAACACAAUCAAAAUUAAGUACCCUGAAAUAUAUAAGAAGUAAAUGCUAAUUCAUAAAGUAAAAAUCUUAAGUGCCGUAGAAGUUUAAAGAAGAUGGAGAUCUGUUAACAUCUCAACAUUAUGAACUCGAAUACUCCAUAGAGACUUAGUUUCUCACACUCUGUUUUUAAAUGAGUUGCAGUAGUCAAGAGGAAAACAUAUGGAAGAGAAAGAAAUCAAGCUGGACUUUGGAGCUCUCCUGCCACUGGAUGACACAGCAAGGAGGCCUUUACCAGAUCCCAGCACUUUCGUCUUGGAUUUCCCAGCCCCUAGAACGGUAUUUCCAGUGAACUUCUAAGGAGUCAACAGUUGACAAACCAAAAGAUCCUACCAAGACCCAAUCAAGAUCCCUCCUUUACUGCAUACAUGAAGAUCUGGAGAAAUACAUUCCCCUGAGAUUUCUUGAUCCUCUAAAUUGGGAUCGAGGGAGUGUCUCUGACCUCAAGAUUGAGGUAUGACUUGAAUUGGGUCUGAGCUCCAAUUUUGUUUUGUCAAUUCACAAACAUUAUUUUCCCAGGGAGGGACAAAGAAGCAUUUUAGGCAUUUUUUUUAAAAAAGAAACAUUUUAGGAAUUAUUAACAUUUUAAAGAAGUAUUUUAAAUAUUAGAUAAAGAUUUAGGUAUCACAUAUUAUAUAAAGAAGACUUUUAGGAAUUAUUAAGUAGAAAAUUGCCUAUUUUUCUAACAACAUGUCUUAGUGUGUUCUCACACUGCUGUAAAGAGCUUCUCUGAGACCAGGUAAUUUAUAAAGGAAAGAGGUUUAAUUGACUCACAGUUCUGCAUGGCUGGGAAGGCCUCAGGAAACUUACAAUCAUGGCAGAAAGGGAAGCAGGCACCUCCUCACCAGUGGCAGGAGAAAGAGUACAAGCAGGGGAAAUGCCAGACAUUUAUAAAACCAUCAGAUCUCAUGAGAACUCACUUACUAUCAUGAAAACAGCAUGAAAGACACUUCCCCCAUAAUCCAAUCACUUCCCUCUCUCUACACAUAGGGAUUACAAUUCAUGAUGAGAUUUGGUUGGGGACACAAAGCCUAACCAUGUCACAACAUUUUGGAUCAUCUCUGUCUUUCUGUUACAAGUCUUUAAGACGAAGCCUAUAGAGAGAGGAGGUGCAUAGGCCAAGUGCGUCCAUCCCAAGUACUGAAGAAUUUAAAAGAUCAUAUCACGAUGGCAUUAUUUGGACAUAAUUUGCAUUGGGUCAGUUUUCUAAAACCUUAUACAUAUGCUCUGAGUGGAUGUAUUAAUAGUUUAUGUAUACCUUAAUAAAAUUGAUUUAAAGUAAACAUUUAAGGACUUUCCUGUGGCUUGUCUUUGUGUCCCUAGAAUUGGUUUAUUUAGUUUUGUCUGACCUGAGUUGGAGGGUUUUUUGGGCCCUGUAUUAGUCUGUUUUCAUGCUGCUGAUAAAGACAUACCUCAGACUGGGGAAUUUACAAAAGAAAGAGGUUUAUUGGUGUUACAGUUCCACAUGGCUGGGGAGGCCUCACAGUCACGGUGGAAGGCAAGGAGAAGCAAGUCACAUCUUAUGGGAUGGAAGCAGGCAAAGAGAGCUUGUGCAGGGGGACU